rfam:Mesorhizobium sp. L48C026A00 scaffold0002, whole genome shotgun sequence.
GAUCAAGUGUCUUAAGGGCAAUUGGUGGAUGCCUUGGCAUGCACAGGCGAUGAAGGACGUGAUACGCUGCGAUAAGCUACGGGGAGGUGCGAAUACCCUUUGAUCCGUAGAUUUCCGAAUGGGGAAACCCACCUAAGGUGCUUGGAAAAUCAGAGCAGCAGGUAAUUGGCGCGAGAUCCCAAAAGGAUUGAGCGUUAAGCGACGAUCUCUUUGAGAUCGCGCAGACUUGCUGCUGUGGUUUCCAAGUAUCUGUUAUAGGUAACUUAUCCUGAAUACAUAGGGAUAAAGUGGCGAACGCGGGGAACUGAAACAUCUAAGUACCCGUAGGAAAGGACAUCAACCGAGACUCCGGCAGUAGUGGCGAGCGAACCCGGACCAGGCCAGUGGCGAUGAUGAGACAAGCGGAACCUUCUGGAAAGUAGGGCCAUAGUGGGUGACAGCCCCGUACGCGUAAUGCAAAUCAUCGUCCUCGAGUAAGGCGGGACACGUGAAAUCCUGUCUGAAAUUGGGGGGACCACCCUCCAAGCCUAAGUACUCGUGCAUGACCGAUAGCGAACUAGUACCGUGAGGGAAAGGUGAAAAGCACCCCGACAAGGGGAGUGAAAGAGUACCUGAAACCGAUUGCCUACAAACAGUGGGAGUCCAAGGUUCGUCCUGGGUGACCACGUACCUUUUGUAUAAUGGGUCAGCGACUUAGUGUGACGAGCAAGCUUAAACCGCUAGGUGUAGGCGCAGCGAAAGCGAGUCUGAACAGGGCGUUCAGUUCGUCGCAUUAGACCCGAAACCGAGUGAUCUAGCCAUGAGCAGGUUGAAGGUAAGGUAACACUUACUGGAGGACCGAACCCAUAACUGUUGCAAUAGUUCGGGAUGACUUGUGGCUAGGGGUGAAAGGCCAAUCAAACUCGGAAAUAGCUGGUUCUCCGCGAAAUCUAUUUAGGUAGAGCGUCGACCGAAUACCCCAGGGGGUAGAGCACUGGAUGGGCUAGGGGUCCUCACCGGAUUACCAAACCUAACCAAACUCCGAAUACCUGGGAGUACUAGUCGGCAGACACACGGCGGGUGCUAACGUCCGUCGUGAAAAGGGAAACAACCCUGACCUACAGCUAAGGUCCCCAAGUUAUGGCUAAGUGGGAAAGGAUGUGAGGAUCCCAAAACAACCAGGAUGUUGGCUUAGAAGCAGCCAUCAUUUAAAGAAAGCGUAACAGCUCACUGGUCUAAAUAAGGGUCUUUGCGCCGAAAAUGUAACGGGGCUCAAGCCAUACACCGAAGCUUAGGGUUCGUGAGCAAUCACGAGCGGUAGCGGAGCGUUCUGUAAGCUGAUGAAGCCAUACCCGUGAGGGGUGGUGGAGGUAUCAGAAGUGCGAAUGCUGACAUGAGUAACGUAAGGGGAGUGAGAGACUCCCCCGCCGAAAGUCCAAGGGUUCCUGCUUAAAGCUAAUCUGAGCAGGGUUAGCCGGCCCCUAAGUCGAGGCAGAAAUGCGUAGACGAUGGGAACCACGUUAAUAUUCGUGGGCCUGGAGGAAGUGACGGAUCAUUGAGGUAGUCCAAUCUUAUCGGAUUGAACGGGCUGCUGCGUGGUUCCAGGAAAUAGCUCCUCCUUAUAGACCGUACCCGAAACCGACACUGGUGGACUGGUAGAGUAUACCAAGGCGCUUGAGAGAACUAUGCUGAAGGAACUCGGCAAAUUGCACGCGUAACUUCGGAAGAAGCGUGACCCUUUUCCACGCAAGUGGAGGAGGGUGGCACAGACCAGGGGGUAGCGACUGUUUAUCAAAAACACAGGGCUCUGCGAAGUCGCAAGACGACGUAUAGGGUCUGACGCCUGCCCGGUGCUGGAAGGUUAAGAGGAGGGGUGCAAGCUCUGAAUCGAAGCCCCAGUAAACGGCGGCCGUAACUAUAACGGUCCUAAGGUAGCGAAAUUCCUUGUCGGGUAAGUUCCGACCUGCACGAAUGGCGUAACGACUUCCCCGCUGUCUCCAGCAUAGACUCAGUGAAAUUGAAUUCCCCGUGAAGAUGCGGGGUUCCUGCGGUUAGACGGAAAGACCCCGUGCACCUUUACUAUAGCUUUACAUUGGCAUUCGUAGUGGCAUGUGUAGGAUAGGUGGUAGGCUUUGAAACCUGGGCGCCAGCUCAGGUGGAGCCACCCUUGAAAUACCACCCUUAUCACUAUGGAUGUCUAACCGCGGCCCGUCAUCCGGGUCCGGGACAAUGUAUGGUGGGUAGUUUGACUGGGGCGGUCGCCUCCUAAAGAGUAACGGAGGCGCGCGAUGGUGGGCUCAGAACGGUCGGAAAUCGUUCGCUGAGUGCAAUGGCAUAAGCCUGCCUGACUGCGAGACUGACAAGUCGAGCAGAGACGAAAGUCGGUCAUAGUGAUCCGGUGGUCCCGCGUGGAAGGGCCAUCGCUCAACGGAUAAAAGGUACGCCGGGGAUAACAGGCUGAUGACCCCCAAGAGUCCAUAUCGACGGGGUUGUUUGGCACCUCGAUGUCGACUCAUCGCAUCCUGGGGCUGGAGCAGGUCCCAAGGGUAUGGCUGUUCGCCAUUUAAAGCGGUACGUGAGUUGGGUUCAGAACGUCGUGAGACAGUUCGGUCCCUAUCUGCCGUGGGUGUAGGAAUAUUGAAAGGAUCUGUCCCUAGUACGAGAGGACCGGGAUGGACGGAUCUCUGGUGGACCUGUUGUGGCGCCAGCCGCAUAGCAGGGUAGCUAUAUCCGGACGGGAUAACCGCUGAAGGCAUCUAAGCGGGAAACCCACCUUAAAACGAGUAUUCCCUGAGAACCGUGGAAGACGACCACGUUGAUAGGNGAAGGCAUCUAAGCGGGAAACCCACCUUAAAACGAGUAUUCCCUGAGAACCGUGGAAGACGACCACGUUGAUAGGCCGGGUGUGGAAGAGCGGCAACGCUUGAAGCUUACCGGUACUAAUAGUUCGAUCGGCUUGAUCGU